GGGAAGGUAAAGUGUGUACACACGUCUCACCCCUACCUCGUUGAGGUAGAGAGGUAAUUGUUUCACAACGUCCACACAUAAUUUUUUGUCCAUUCACCUUAGCUUGUAAAAUUUCUUAUCGAGAAGUCAUGAUGUUCUACCCUAGGGGAUUUAUCAGAAACAACCUCUCGAUCUACCUCAUCUCUAAGAUAGUGGUAUGAAUUACAUAUAUUUUACAACUAUAAAAUCUGGAUAGUACUUAGGUAAGUUUUCAGAAAACUUUUGCAUCAGGUGAUGUGCGUGAAUAAUCCAAACAUGUGUUCUGAUGUAAUGCUGAAACUGCUUCUUGUUGAAUAAGAGGUCUCAGGUUGAACCUGAGUAUGGAGUAGUUCUGUUCGAUGAUAUGAAAAUAAAAAAAGGUUAUGAAAAGGAAAAAGUUGUACAAGUGGUCCAUUACAUAAUUUUGUCCCUUCACCUUCAUACUUUUUACUAUUCCACAUUUUAAAUAUUAAUAUACUAAACACACAAAGUUAUAACACAAUCAUUAGGAGAUUCUAAUCCACAUAUUGAAUUGUCCAAUUUACAAUUUUUAAAGAUAAAAUAUUAUUAUCUUGGACAAAAAAAGAAUGUUAUUUGCUUAGAAAUGAUAUGAAAUUAUACAAAAGGCAGAAAUUAAAACUAG
rnacentral:lncRNA from 1 species